rnacentral:tRNA from 1 species
GUUGUGGCUCAGUGGGAGAGCACUCGCCUAGCAUGUGUGAGACCCUGGGCUCGAUUCUCAGCACGACA